rnacentral:sRNA from 1 species
UUUCAGUUGUUAAACUCAUUUGAUAUUUUAAAUUUCGACGAAGACUUCACAGUGCCGUCUUAAAAAAUAAAUCGAAUGGUGAGUGAGACACCCGGUAUUAAUUGUGUGAAUUCACAAUAUUUUAUUAGUUUAUUUUCGGCAUUGGUAAUCUCCUACUAUAUUUGUUACAGUAUUAAACAUUUAGUUGGAUUUAAAAAGUUUAAUCACAUUAUUAUUGUUUGAUAUUAUAUAUUAUAUAUAUAUA